rnacentral:rRNA from 1 species
GACGAACGCUGGCGGCGUGCUUAACACAUGCAAGUCGAACGGAAAGGCCCUGCUUUUGUGGGGUGCUCGAUUGGCGAACGGGUGAGUAACACGUGUGUAACCUGCCCUUGACUUUGGGAUAACUUCAGGAAACUGGGGCUAAUACCGGAUAGGAGCUCCUGCUGCAUGUUGGGGGUUGGAAAGUUUCGGCGGUUGGGGAUGGACUCGCGGCUUAUCAGCUGGUUGGUGGGGUAGUGGCGUACCAAGGCUUUGACGGAUAGCCGGCCUGAGAGGGUGACCGGCCACAUGGGGCCUACGAUACGGCGCAGAAUCCUACGGGCCGCAGCAGUGGAGAGUAUUGCGCAAUGGGCGGGAGCCUGAUGCAGCAACGCCGCGUGCGGGAUGCCCUCUUUCGGGUUGUAAACCGCUUUCGCCUGUGACGAAGCGUGCGUGACGGUAAUGGGUAAAGAAGCACCGGCUAACUACGUG